AAUAGCUCAGCAGAACAUGCGAGAAUGCACUAACUUCUUGGUCUUCCAAGAGAGAUUUUAAUUUGUUGUGAGGUUCGAGCGAUGAAGAAGACAAGCUACAUUCCAGUAGAGCAAAAUUAUCGUUGAUAAAGUUAUUUUUCGGCAAUUUAACAACAUGAAAAAGUAUAGGAAAUUACGCAAUGUCUGUUCCUCCUGCCCGGGCAUGGAGAUUUGCAGCCACGAGUUUUAUUCGCGCCCACGGAAAAAGUCAUUCCGGCGAGAAAUUUUAUUCCGGAAUACCUAUUUUAUACGGUUUGUUGCAAUUGGAGCUAGAAUCCUUCUACAUGGAACAAGAGGGUCAUUCCAUGCCAAAUAUCAUAUAGAGGAUCGGUUGCUUCACCCUCGUUUCCAGUAAUUAUUGCCUUUUUAUAUUCAAAUGGCAAAAAUCUCUGACGACAUCCCAAAUUCUUUAUCCGGUACGAAUUUCGGAAGAUCUCCAGCCGCAACGUGUGAACAUGGUCUUCAGCAUGGUUCGCACAGAAAUCUGAAAAUGGUAGCUGUUUUCCAAGGUUAGGGUAAACUGUAAAUAAAAUAUAGAUAACUUUUCCGUUUUUGUUACUUUUUCGUUAUAACAAAAGGCAGUUCACGUUAGCUAGGUAUUUAUUAGUUAUUGAUAUUUUGGGUGAUAAUCACUAAUGAAAAAUGCAUGGCACCAGCUAGUUUUUUGGAUUAUUUCAAGUUGAUAUAGCUAUGCUAGCAGACAUGAGGACACUCAUAUACCGAUUUUUUCCAUUGUUGUGCGUUGUUUUGACGCGAAGAAUUUUCAGAGAAAUAUAUAGCUAUACAUUUCACUUUUACUUUUAAUAAAUAAAAAAUAUAUAAUAUCAUUUUAAACCUGAAUUCCAGAGUGCCUUUUAUUUCCAAAAUGAACAUAAAAACUCAUUUCAACGAUAGAAAAAAAUUAAGUCAUGUGUAAACAAAAUAUGUGCAAAGGUUCUUUAUGUAGACAUGAGGUGGUUAUGCAAGGUCAUAAAAUUUGCUGACAUGUAAAGUAACAUUUAAACAUUGCUGUAGAUGUACCACCACCUUACCCUAACAUAAUACUGUCCCACGCAAAGACCUUAUAGCUAUAUACAAAGUCGGGCAAAAAUAUUUGUCUGGCUUUAGCCGCCCGACUUUAAAAGUUUUUACCGUCGUACAAUUGAAAAAAAGAGAGCAUUUUUUAUUGGCGAGAAAUAAAGAAUUUAUUUACGAUAAAAUAAACAGAAACUUUUUAACUUAAGUACACAAUUGCCCUGCACAAUUUGUAAACUUGUGCCCAGGUAUAUUCUUCCGUAUGGGUUGACAGAAGCUCAGAAAAAUGAGAUUAAUUUCUGUUCACAUGUAGAGAUUUUCCAGAAGUUCCCCACUCGAUCAAUCAACUAACAUGAACACACACAAGAACAGAGAAAAGGUGGAAGAGUGGUUAAAACCUGAGGAGAAAAUGUAAUGGAGGCAUCGUGCAACAAGAUAUGCAUGAUGAAAUUGUUGCAUAUUGGUGGCUCAUCAACAUAAUUAUAAAUUAUGGAUUAUCCAACACUCGGACUUCACAACGUUUUGUGUAUGCCAACAGAAAAGGUGGUUUACAUUUUUCCAAUAUUUCUAUAUGUAAUUUUAAUGAUGGUAUAAAAACAAAUGCACAUGGUAUUUAGUGACUUUCUCAAAACUUUUUUUCGGAAAGAAUCAGUGAGAAUAUAGAAGGGAAAGGAAUCACCAAAAGGAAAUUGAAGUGCAUUGUUUAACCUUAUCUUCAUUUUAAACACUUUCUUUGUCUAAAAAUGUAAAAAAAAAUUAAAACUACGCUCAUCAUCAUUCUCGGCUUAACGUCCGUUUUCCAUGCUAGCAUGGGUUGGACGGGGUAUAUUAAUGACCCUCUUCCAAUCUGAUCUAGACUGUGUUAGAUCUAAACUCAACUUCCUCUGUAUCAAGUCUGUCCUUAUAACCUCCUGCCAAGUC